AGUGAACGCUGGCGGUAGGCCUAACACAUGCAAGUCGAACGGCAGCACAGUAAGAGCUUGCUCUUACGGGUGGCGAGUGGCGGACGGGUGAGGAAUACAUCGGAAUCUACUUUUUCGUGGGGGAUAACGUAGGGAAACUUACGCUAAUACCGCAUACGACCUACGGGUGAAAGCAGGGGAUCUUCGGACCUUGCGCGAUUGAAUGAGCCGAUGUCGGAUUAGCUAGUUGGCGGGGUAAAGGCCCACCAAGGCGACGAUCCGUAGCUGGUCUGAGAGGAUGAUCAGCCACACUGGAACUGAGACACGGUCCAGCCCCCUACGGGGGGCAGCAGGGGGGAAUUUUGGAAAAUGGGCGCAAGCCUGAUCCAGCCAUCCCGGGUGGGUGAAGAAGGCCUUCGGGUUGUAAAGCCCUUUUGUUGGGAAAAAAAAGCAGCAGGUUAAUACCCCGCUGUUCUGACGGUACCAAAAGAAUAAGCACCGGUUAACUUCGU
rnacentral:rRNA from 1 species